GCAAAUGAAUUAUACAAUUGAGCAUGUUCAUGCAUCAUGAAUGCCAUGUGAUGAAAUAGGUUGUUUGCAUUAGAAUCCACGAAUAUGUUGCAUUGCAUUUAUGAUGUUGAUGUGGAUUGGUUAUUGGAUGACCCUUUAGUCCUCAUAUGAUAUGAUGAUGCUACGGCAUGGUAUGGUAUGGAAGUCCAGGUUGUACCCAUUCUACGUCCCUGGCACUAUGUAAGAGAAAGUCCAGGUUGUACCC
rnacentral:lncRNA from 1 species